UACCAGCACCCCGAGUGGUCGGAACGUUUAUUGGGCCUAAAGCAUCCGUAGCCGGUUCUACAAGUCUUCCGUUAAAUCCACCUGCUCAACAGAUGGGCUGCGGAAGAUACUAUGGAGCUAGGAGGCGGGAGAGGCAAGCGGUACUCGAUGGGUAGGGGUAAAAUCCGUUGAUCCAUUGAAGACCACCAGUGGCGAAGGCGGCUUGCCAGAACGCGCUCGACGGUGAGGGAUGAAAGCUGGGGGAGCAAACCGG
rnacentral:rRNA from 1 species